AGACAAGGAAUGUAGAGAAGAGUU
rnacentral:piRNA from 1 species